rnacentral:rRNA from 1 species
UUUAUGGAGAGUUUGAUCCUGGCUCAGGAUGAACGCUGGCGGCGUGCCUAAUACAUGCAAGUCGAGCGAACGGACGAGAAGCUUGCUUCUCUGAUGUUAGCGGCGGACGGGUGAGUAACACGUGGACAACCUACCUAUAAGACUGGGAUAACUUCGGGAAACCGGAGCUAAUACCGGAUAAUAUUUUGAACCGCAUGGUUCAAAAGUGAAAGACGGUCUUGCUGUCACUUAUAGAUGG